rnacentral:rRNA from 1 species
GUUGAAAGAUGGCAUCAUCAUUCAACCAAAGGAGCAAUCCGCUAUGAGAUGGACCCGCGGCGCAUUAGCUAGUUGGUGGGGUAACGGCCUACCAAGGCGACGAUGCGUAGCCGACCUGAGAGGGUGAUCGGCCACAUUGGGACUGAGACACGGCCCAAACUCCUACGGGAGGCAGCAGUGGGGAAUAUUGCACAAUGGGGGAAACCCUGAUGCAGCAACGCCGCGUGAGUGAUGAAGGUUUUCGGAUCGUAAAGCUCUGUCUUUGGGGAAGAUAAUGACGGUACCCAAGGAGGAAGCCACGGCUAACUACGUGCCAUCAGCCCCGGUAAUACGUAUGUGGCGAGCGUUAUCCG